CUUUCUGCAAGGUGCUGCAUGGUUGUCGUCAGCUCGUGCCGUGAGGUGUCGGGUUAAGUCCCAUAACGAGCGCAACCCUUAUCGUUAGUUGCCAUCUGGUAAUGCAGGGGACUCUAGCGAAACUGCCACCGUAAGGUGAGAGGAAGGUGGGAUGACGUCAAAUCAGCACGGCCCUUAUGUCCAGGGCUACACACGUGUUACAAUGGUCGGUACAGAGGGCAGCUACCUGGUGACAGGAUGCUAAUCUCGAAAACCGGUCUCAGUUCGGAUCGAAGUCUGCAACUCGACUUCGUGAAGCUGGAUUCGCUAGUAAUCGCGCAUCAGCUAUGGCCGCGGUCGAAUACGUUCCCGGGCCUU
rnacentral:rRNA from 1 species